CACGUUUGAGGUCUUUUGACCGCGUUUAUUAGUUUGAAACCCGCCUUGGCUUUCGGUGAUUCAUAAUAAACUGGCGAAUCGCAUUUAGCGAUGGACCAUUCAAGUUUCUGACCCAUCAGCUUGACGGUAGGGUAUUGGCCUACCGAGGCAGCAACGGGUAACGGGGAAUUAGGGUUCGAUUCCGGAGAGGGAGCCUGAGAGACGGCUACCACAUCUAAGGAAGGCAGCAGGCGUGCAAAUUACCCAAUCCUGACACAGGGAGGUAGUGACAAGAAAUAACAAUACAGGGCUAAUGUCUUGUAAUUGGAAUGAUGGUGACCCAAACCCUCACCAGAGUAGCAAUUGGAGGGCAAGUCUGGUGCCAGCAGCCGCGGUAAUUCCAGCUCCAAUAGCGUAUAUUAAACUUGUUGCAGUUAAAAAGCUCGUAGUUGAAUUUUAGCGUGUUCGAGUUUGCCAUUCGUUUGGCUUUUUCGAGUUCGCUUUUGGGUUUUCCCUUUUUACUUUGAGAAAAUUAGAGUGUUUCAAGCAGACUUUUGUCUUGAAUACUUCAGCAUGGAAUAAUAGAGUAGGACUUUGGUUCUAUUUUGUUGGUUAUUGAACCUUAGUAAUGGUUAAUAGGAACGGUUGGGGGCAUUCGUAUUUAACUGUCAGAGGUGAAAUUCUUAGAUUUGUUAAAGACGAACUACUGCGAAAGCAUUUGCCAAGGACGUUUCCAUUAAUCAAGAACGAAAGUUAGGGGAUCGAAGA
rnacentral:rRNA from 1 species